CCUCUCCACAUCGGAGACACACAUUGGUUAAGCUGCCUUGCUGUAUAUUUGAAGAAGGCGAGUUGGCAGACACUGCAAAGGCGGAGGCAGCUAAGCAAUAAGGCAGCAGAGACUACACAUUAUCUGAUCCUGUGUCUGCACUGCAAGAAAACAGAUUCCCAAACACACACAAAUGCUUCAUCUCUGCCAAAGGAAACCUCAGCGAAUUGGGGCAUCUACAGAAGAAGUGGCUUCUGGCUAAAAGUAUAGUGCCAUCUUCCGACUGGCACAUAGUACUGCAGCAAGAAACAGUCAUUAGGACAAUUGAGAAUAAAGAUACAUCGCGUGUACAGAGUGCACUGCUCUCGGAGUAUUUAAAGCCCAUAUCUUGCUGUCCUAUUCACAACAACCCUAUAAGGAAAGGGCUGGCCAGCAGAGCACCAGCUUUGCAUGCAGAAGGACCCAGGUGCACUCUGUACCACCUCCAGCUGAAAAACUGGCAAGGCUCUGGGAGCAACCCUCGCCGGAAACCUCAGGAAACUGCCUGGUAGUCAGAUGAGACAAUGCUGGGCUGCAUCAAGGACCAAGGGUCUGCCUCUGUAUGGAGCACUCCAGUAAUUGAAACUGCCAUCCGGCUGUUGGGGUGCUUCAUUGCACCCCAACUUCUGUGUAGCAGCAUUCACCGAAGAGGCAAAUUCCUUAUUAAGAAUCACUUGGAAAGCGACUGAAAAUAAAACCUGAGGCAAGAGAGGAAAAUUUGCUGGCAUCUCUCCAUCAGAUGUGAAUGGAUAAGUUCACUGAUUUGGGAACAGUGUCUUUCAACCAUCAAACAGGAAUGUUUCAUCCUAGGUACAGCAACGGAUCUCAUACCUAGUAGGUAUAAUGCAACAAAAGCAGGAUUAAAAAGCACACAAAUAAACCAGAAGAUUUGUGUUUUUAAAUGUUUUAGGAUUUCAGCAGGAAGUGAGGGGCCAUCCACCAAUUGGACACAAAGCAGUCUGUCCGCCCCAAAACUUUUGCAGAUACAAAUGGUAUUGAAAGCGGAAUCACAAUAACGUAUAACCGCCCCAAUACCGUCACAAGCACAAAUCACCAUAAAAAAGGAUGUCCAGACAUCUGUUCUGUGUCCCCAGGAUUAUUAUUUGUUUAUUCCCUUUUUUUAAUGUGUUGAUGUCCUUUCUCAUUCCCAAUCCCUUCACACGCACCCUCUACUCUCUUUUUCUCUCCUCCUUCUUCAGUGAAUUUCAGUGUGAGGAAAAAACAUUGUCCAGAAAGUGUGGGGGGGGGGAAGGAAUACAUCCCACCCUAUCCUUUUGCCUGUACCACUUCCUGAUAUGCACUACCCAAAGAUCGUGCUAAUGAGCAUUAUUCUUUGCAGAUUGCAAAGAUUGGUUGGAACCCUUGGCGCUGCGGCAUGGUUAACAAUCAAAGCUGUCAGCCCAGCCAAGUCCACGGUUAAAAUAUCUGAGAGCUUUUGUCGAGAGGAUGGGAACUUCAGACUUAACAAAUGCAGUUGUUUUUCUCGUUUUUUGGCUGGGGGGGGAGGAGGAGGAGGAGGAGGGAAGGAAUGCACAAGCUGCCCCCCCACCCUUCCACACAAGUUCAUUCCUGAGACCAUUUAAAGAAAGAGAUCUCUGUGGCGAAGCUGGGGAACUCUCCUAUGAAGAUUAGAAAAAGGCACGCUCUUUGGAUACACACGCGUAUAUAGGGCUCAUCCAAACGGAGUGGGAUAAUCCAUGUUUUCCAUAUCCGGUUUGUCAUCUGACAGUCCUCACUUUGCCUGUUUGUUCGCUCUUUCUCGAUUAAAAAAAAUGCUUUUUUUGCACCCGCACCCGCAGCGGGAGGACCCGUACUUCUUGCUUUUCCCCAGCUCCGCCCAUAACACUCCCCCCUAUCAGCCAAUUGGUCCACAAAAUAUGACGUAUGCUCCUCUCCCCCUUUGCAACAAAGCACAAUAAGAGCGCAAAGUUUGAAUUUCCUGUGGCUGUAAUGGAAUC